UUGGAGGGCAAGUCUGGUGCCAGCAGCCGCGGUAAUUCCAGCUCCAAUAGCGUAUAUUAAAGUUGUUGCAGUUAAAAAGCUCGUAGUUGAAUUUCGGGAUUGACGUGAUGGUCAUGCCUUAAGGGGUAUGAACUGUUACUGUUGAUUUCUCACCUUCUGGAGAAACUUGAUGUCCUUUAUUGGGUGUCUUGCGGAUCCAGGACCUUUACCUUGAAAAAAUUAGAGUGUUUAAAGCAGGCAUUUGCUCGAAUACAUUAGCAUGGAAUAAUAGAAUAGGACGGCAUGGUUCUAUUUUGUUGGUUUCUAGGAUCACCGUAAUGAUUAAUAGGGAUAGUUGGGGGCAUUAGUAUUCAAUUGUCAGAGGUGAAAUUCUUGGAUUUAUUGAAGACUAACUACUGCGAAAGCAUUUGCCAAGGAUGUUUUCAUUAAUCAAGAACGAAAGUUAGGGGAUCGAAGACGAUCAGAUACCGUCGUAGUCUUAACCAUAAACUAUGCCGACUAGGAAUCAGACGAUGUUAAUUUUUUAAUGACUCGUUUGGCACCUUACGGAAACCAAAGUGUUUGGGUUC
rnacentral:rRNA from 1 species